GAUGAACGCUAGCGGCAGGCCUAAUACAUGCAAGACGAACGGUAAGUUGAGUAGCAAUACUUAGCCAAGAGUGUCGUACGGGUGCGUAACACGUAUGCAACCUACCCUAUACAGGAGGAUAGCCUAGGGAAACCUGGAUUAACCCUUCAUAGUAUUAUUGGAUGGCAUCAUUUGAUAAUUAAAACUGAGGUGGUAUAGGAUGGGCAUGCGUCUGAUUAGUUAGUUGGCGGGGUAAUGGCCCACCAAGACGAUGAUCAGUAGGGGUUCUGAGAGGAAGAUCCCCCACACUGGCACUGAGAUACGGGCCAGACUCCUACGGGAGGCAGCAGUAGGGAAUAUUGGUCAAUGGAUGCAAGUCUGAACCAGCCAUGCCGCGUGCAGGAAGAAGGCCCUUUCUGGGUUGUAAACUGCUUUUGCCAGGGGAUAAAAUUUCCAUGCGUGGAAAACUGAAGGUACCUGGUGAAUAAGCCACGGCUAACUACGUGCCAGCAGCCGC
rnacentral:rRNA from 1 species